UCCCCAGAACCACUAGAAGGAGGAGCCAUCCUGUGAGGAGCCACAGCCUGGAAGGCAAGAGCCUCCCAAAAGUCUGUAAUUUGGAGAGAUGUAUUGCUGCAGUUUCCAGAUCAGGAGGCAUAAAUUCACCACUCGGAAGAUGGAAUUUUUCCCUUUUGGGAUCAGAGGGAGCAAGCGAUUCCACAGCUACCUUUUUUCUUUGUCAGGGAUAAUAAAUAAAUAAAUAAAUAAAUACCAUAACUACGGCAAAGCCUCCAACUAACGAACAGGAUGGCAAAUUGUCAUGCUCAGCUUCCAAAGUAAGAGAGAGAGGAACUCAGAGAUGGCAAUUUACCAAAAUAAAAAAAAAAUUAAAGUA